rnacentral:rRNA from 1 species
CAGUCGCCGCGGGAAUACGUAGGGGGCAAGCGUUAUCCGGAAUUACUGGGUGUAAAGGGAGCGUAGACGGUUAAACAAGUCUGAAGUGAAAUGCCGGGGCUCAACCCCGGAGCUGCUUUGGGAACUGUAGAACUUGAGUGCAAGAGAGGAGAGUGGAAUUCCAUGUGUAGCGGUGAAAUGCGUAGAUAUAUGGAGGAACACCGGUGGCGAAAGCGGCUCUCUGGCUUGUAACUGACGCUGAGGCUCGAAAGCGUGGGGAGCAAACAGGAUUAGAGACCCCGGUAGUCCCUGUCUCUUAUAC